UGAACCAUAUUACCCUGUUGCAACAUGCUGUCAGAUAAAAUAUACUGAUGCUGUUUUCGCUAUGGAUGCAGGCCUGAUCCGUCCAAGCUCAGGUAACAUGACGUGCACACGCUCACGCAAAUUGCUGAGCAGGCAGGUGACGUCAGCUCCAAUUCGGGGGGCAGCGAUGUGGCUUUAGCGUCAGGUUGGAUAUUAAUAUUGCUUUUACAGAUUUUGGUUGAAGUGAAACUUGUUCCUCGCUGUCAGCCGGUGUAAUAAAGGUGACGGGAGGAAGAAGUGAUUAGCACCUCCAGCUGUCAAUCUGCAUUCAGCAACAACAGACACAGCUGACCAUGAACACUGUCAGGAAGCGGGUCGAUUCGGAACACACUCGCUCUCGACGAGCACUGCUGAACACAUCAUGCCACCGCUGUUAUAUUUUGUCGACGUGGAAGAAAAACAUUGAGCACGAAGCAAACAAUUCAACAGACAGGAUAACGGGGUUGCUAACGUUGGUUAGCCUACAAGAAGACGCUGGCAGACUCUUCGGUAUCUGAAUCCUCCUACCUUGACUUUGACUCGGACCACCCCCCUCUCCUCCUCGCCUGCCAUUUUACAGACUCCGUUUCGGAACAGGGUGGUUGUUUGGAGUUUUGUUUCCCUUCUACAUCGACAUGGCCUGAUCAGGAGCUUCCUAUCACCAGACUUGAACGAUGACUGAGGAUCCAGGUCAUGGAAAACAGGACACACCUGAGAUCUGAUCACUCAUACCACAUUCAGAGGUUCAGACUGCCCAGUGUGCUGGGUGGCAUGCCACUGAAAAUAAUGGCUCGCAGGGUGCAGUGAGCCAUUGUCACAUUCUGUCUACUGAACCCACACAUGGAUAGUGGGAGAAAGAGGAGAAUGCUACCUGGAAUGCUACCUUUGCCAACGGUCCACAUUUGGUAGGUUAAGUCAUAUCACAAGUGACUAAUGCAACACAAGUGAAAUGCCAGGUGUGAACUGACAACAGAGCUGUCCACUUGUGAUUGAAUCACUAAGGAAACAUGUCAAUACAAGAUGUGAACAUACUCAGUUGCACACACUCUAACGUUACACACUUCUGGAGAAAUUUAGUUGUUCGCAGAUUGUCAGUAUUUGACGACUUAAGUGAUACAGGGAAGGAUGUUCAGGAGCAGGCGA